rnacentral:lncRNA from 1 species
GGUCAUGGCAAGCACAGCAGUGAAAUUCCUGCACCAGGAGGGGGCCCGGGCCAUGGAUGAGGAGUUGUUUCAUGAGUACCAGCAUGGCCCAACUUACAGAACUGGCUGGACUCAGCUGUUCCACUGUCAUUGCCAAGGCAUAUCCUCCCAUAUCCAUGUCCCGAUCAUCCAUGGCCCAGGGAAUAAUGGAGAAGGUAGCCUGCUCUGUGCUUGACACCUCAAACAUUUUGGUCACCAGCCAAUCAUCUUUGACCCCAAAAGACCCAACAAGCCACUCUACACUAUGCUUGGUGACCCACUGUCAGGAAAGGGGCAUUCUUUUGCUUGGUGAAGUGCCCCCAGAGCCCACGCUGAUCAAUGAGCUGUAUGGGCUGGGGGUGGAUGCCAUCUUUGGCUUCAGCUUCAAGGGCAAUGUUUGAAAGCCAUUCUGUAACAUUCUGAGUGUCCUGAAUAGACUCACUGUGCCACUGCCAAUGCUGACAUUCCCUUGGGAUGGGACAUGGAGAAGGAAAACUCCGGAGGGAUCCAGCCAGACCUGCUUCUCCCCCUGAUAGCACCCAAAAAGUCUGAAACCUAGUUUACAGAUUGCUACCACUACUUGAGGGGUUGUUGACUACCACCUGCUUGGGAAAAGAAGUACCAGCUAAAACCUGCCAUUGUACCC